ACAGUGGUGGUUCAGUGGUAGAAUUCUCACCUUCCAUGCGGGAGACUUGGCUUCAAUUUCCCACCAAUGCA
rnacentral:tRNA from 1 species